CUGGGGGCUGGAAAUCCCCCCCCCAGCACUCACAGCCAAAAGGGUUGGUGCUCUUGAAGGUGAUGUCGAUGGGGAAGUUCCACACGAGCGUGGUGGGCGAGACGUCGCUCUUGGAGGGACCACAACGUGACGGGGCUGGGCUGGUGACACGAUGGUGUUGGCUUGGUGAUGUGACAGUGCUGGCCCUUUGGGACCGUGGUCGUGCCACUGCUCCUGCCAGGAAGCUUUGCUGCCCACACGCACGUCAGCGCCACGGAGACUCACCAGCCCGGCCACCAUCUGCCACGGUUCAUCCCUUCGCCUCCUUUCUCCAUCCCACACCACGUUCCCCUCGCUGUGAGGAAUUUGUGGGGCAUUUGGUUGCUGCCAGACCCUCUGGGGAAGGACGGGAGGAAAGAAGGAAGCCCUGGCUCGGCGCCUGUUUGGGUUUCCCGCUGUAGCCAGUUGGAGCCCUUUCACGGAUGGGCUGAGCAGAGAUUUAUGGCCUCAGUCCUUAUCCUCGUCCACUGUCUCCUUUUUCCCUCCCUUUGGCAUACUGGUGGAGGUGGCUGUGCUGCUUUGGCUCCCUGCAGUGCCACACCGUGUGCUGUGGUGCCUAAGGAAAGGCACCAAGACACCCUUUUCUGCUGAAAGGGCUGGUGUGGAUAAAUACUGAUGGCCCUGCCCAUGGCAGUGGGUGAAUGAGAUGGUUUUUAAGGUCCUUUCCAAUCCAAACCACUCUGGGAUUCUAUAUUGGACUGAAAGUAAACUACCAUUACAUUUCGUGCUGAAAAAUACCUUCCAUGUUCCAAUAAAUGUAUUCUCUGUCAGUAUCUAUCUCAACUCGAUUUUUCAGGCCAAACAAAUUUGACCAAGAGAAGAAUGGGAGAGAAAAGCAGGAGGGAUGGGAGGGAAUGCCUGAAAUUUUAUCCUUUCUCCCCUGCCCUUCAGAAAUGCUUCAGAGAAAAUAAUUCAUUUGAACUGAAAAUUAUAUGGGGGGGAAAUAAAGCAGUUUUGGAGCAGCUGUCUGGAGCAGUUAGUGAGGCUGUUUAAUUAACACUGCAUUUGGCUACCAGCUACCUUGGAGCUUGCUAAGAGCCAAUUUAAGGAAUUUUUUUGUUGCCUGGCAAGUGAUAAACAGGUGCUGGAGGAAUUCUAUCAGCACUGGGAGACCUUCCCCAUGACAGAGAGACAGCAGGAGGCUUUUUCAGCAGCCGUGAGUCAUCUGUACCUGCCUCUGGAAGGGCUCUGUCCCCUCCCAGCCAUAACAAGACCUUUUAGUCUUUCCUCCCUUGCACGCCAGCCUUGUUCUAAUUGGCUGCACUUUUAAUCUUCGUGAGCAGAACGAAAUCCCAAGCAAGGAAGUGUUUUUAUCCUGCUGGAAAACUUAAUUAACGAUCCAUCAGAGAGUUUGGUUUCCAAGCAUAAUGAAAGCCUGUGGAUCACAGCGAGUCCACGGGUGUUAUUUAACGAGGCUGCUGCUUCUCUUGGCCACCUAAAACAUUCACCUCCUCUCCUGGACUUGUCCUGAUCCUGUGAUUUGUGAUGAGACUAAUGGGAAGCCUCACAGGGAGGAAGGACAUGUGCCUGAUGAUCACUGACUUGUCAUCUCUCACAGGUGCUGUGCCCAGGUUGGAUCCCAGCUCCAGAAGAACCAUUCCUGGUGUCCCUUUAGCGCUGACUCCUGCACCAAAGGCAUGUCAAGAAGCUGAGGGAUUUAUGUUUUCUUCAUUCCCAGAAAGAGCCAGGGGUUGGAAAAAUCCAAACUGCUUGGAGCUCUAUCACUGAGAGCUUCUUAAUCAAGCUCUGUACCAUGAGCUGAACAGGCUGCCUGGCUUCUGGUCCUUUGGCUCCCAGGGAACUCUUGGAGUGUCUGCGUGCCCUCGAUUCCCUAGGGAUUGCCUCCACACUUGUGUGAGUGGGAAUUGAGCGCUGCGGAAUGAGAGAGCAACAGGGGGCUCCCCUUCUCCUGGGAAAAGCUGCCAGGCAGCUGUGACAGGGAUACCUCGGGCUGGAUCUCCUGCUGUGCCCAUCGCCCAUCACCCUGGCUCUGGGCUCCUGCAGUGUAACUGCAGCAGCAGCAGCAGAUCCCUGUGCUGCUGCCUGGGAAAGGGAGUGGAUGGACAUCCAGUGCUGCUGGGAGGUAGCAGGAAGCAGGUACUUUGUCUCUCUUACCUGUUCAACUCUGAUUACAGCAGCCUCGGGGCUGAUCCAUCGCUGCCAACAGGAGCUCAGGGAAGGUGGGAGAGACACAAACAACAAUACAGUGGCACGGCAAACAGAAGUUUAUUUUUAAUCCCAAAUAUUUAUGAUCAACACCUGCUAAAUGGCCAGUGAAAUACAUUUUAUGGCAUCAUUUAUCUGCAAUAAACUGGUUUUAUUUUUA